rnacentral:rRNA from 1 species
GACGAACGCUGGCGGCGUGCCUAAUACAUGCAAGUCGAGCGGACAGAAGGGAGCUUGCUCCCGGAAGUCAGCGGCGGACGGGUGAGUAACACGUGGGUAACCUGCCUGUAAGACUGGGAUAACUCCGGGAAACCGGGGCUAAUACCGGAUAGCUUCUUCCUCCGCAUGGAGGAAGAAUGAAAGGCGGCCUUUGGCUGUCACUUACAGAUGGACCCGCGGCGCAUUAGCUAGUUGGUGGGGUAACGGCUCACCAAGGCAACGAUGCGUAGCCGACCUGAGAGGGUGAUCGGCCACACUGGGACUGAGACACGGCCCAGACUCCUACGGGAGGCAGCAGUAGGGAAUCUUCCGCAAUGGACGAAAGUCUGACGGAGCAACGCCGCGUGAGUGAAGAAGGUUUUCGGAUCGUAAAGCUCUGUUGUCAGGGAAGAACAAGUACCGGAGUCACUGCCGGUACCUUGACGGUACCUGACCAGAAAGCCACGGCUAACUAC